AUAGGCUAUUGGAGGAAAAAAGCUUCGAAUAAACUGCGGGGCGAUUCAACACCACAAAGUUAAGGAUAAGUAAUUUUUUCAUCACCUGCCACGGGUUAAGACGUCUCAAAAGUCGUACUGUUUCGUAUUCUUUUAAACACUGGAUGAUAGCUUCUGCAAGUAUUGAAAUACGUAGGUACGACGGUCUUUGUACACCGGUCAAAACAUGAUUAGAUAACGUCGGGAAGCGAUCUCGGAACGCUACUGUGGAAAGGCAUCCGUCAAGUAAACAUCAAAGUUUUGCCGUUGGAAGUGAGCCAGAUCGCACUUAUCAAGGCGCGUCUGGGUCGGAUGUUUAAAACUUGAUGGUUAUAAUAUAUAAGCGUUUAGGAAUCUUUAUCGCGGAUGAUGUUUGAAGUGUCUAAACGUUGAAUCGAUCCGCGCGAAAAUAGCGUCUCACUUAUUUUCGCAAUUCGAAGAAUAGAUUGUAAUAUUUAUAGAAACACUUGGGCGACGCGGCAGAAAAAUGUUACGAUGAUUAAACGGGAGCUCACUGUCCAACGGACUGGAGAGUACUGAAUUAAAAACAGCUUGAGGUUGGGAUAGAGGAGUAGAGAACGUUCAUUCAACGAGGAACCCAACAGCGACCAUAAGCUUGUGUCUGUGGACGUUCGUACAUCGACGUACAUCAUUCACCUGCAUAGGCUUCGCUGCUAAUAAUAGAUAGACGAAUGUGAUGUCGAGGAAUUGGUUUAUUUAAUUUCAUUUAUUAAUAACAAAAUAUUAUGUGCGGAUUCGCUCGUUAUUUUCAAGUUUAUGGGAUAAGUUGUACAAUAAUUUAUGAUGAUAAGUUGUGUAUCUAAAGUCGAAAUAAUUAGCCGUAAGUUAAUUGAUCCUUUUUCGAAACAUUUAAUCCAUUAUACAGAAAUUAGGGAAUAACGUUGAAGAAUGAUAAGACAUUUUGAUAUUCAUUUAACUAUUAGGUAGGAUUUUAAUGUUUCACAUUUAUGUAUGUUGAAUAUCGAAAACUGCGGAGUAAUAACGUGAGCAGUAAGCUUUAAAAUAUUUUCGUAACUUUGAGAGUGCAUGAAACUUUUUAGUGCUAUCGGAUCAUGGAAACCGAUUACAAUCAGGAAAAUAUCAAUCACAAGAUUCGUUCCACAAUUCAUAAAUCGCUAUGACUAUAUAUCUACU